rnacentral:tRNA from 1 species
UCCCUGGUGGCCCAGUGGUUAGGGCUCCAUGCUUCCACUGCAGAGGUGACAGGUUCAGUCCCUGCUCAGGGAA